rnacentral:lncRNA from 1 species
UAAGAUCUUGCGGAGUGGACUUUUGGUUCUACUGAGCAUCCUUAGUCUCUUUUUCUUGAUUUUGGUUUCUUCUCAUGUAAACCUGCAAUUCCUUUGUUUGUUCCAUGUCCUUGUCAUUAAUUGUAUCAUGAAAAGACUCUAUUGCCUCAGUUUCCUUAUUUUCAUUAUAUAAGUUGGGAUCUCUUACUUUAUCAAGGUUGUUACUACCAAAAGUACUAUUUCCCGUAUCUAUCAUAAAAUGUAGAUCCUUUUGUUUCUCGCAUGUGAGGUCGCGAGAAUCCUUACUAUCCAUUUAAUCUUCACUAUGUUUCUCCCCCUGAAGAUGAGUUCCAAAAAAUAAUUGAGAUUCAAAAAAGGUGACAUCCAUUGUGACAAUAACCUCCUAGUAUUUGGGUCAUAACACUUGUAUCCCUUUUGACGAGGGGCAUAGCCAACAAAAUCACAUUUUUUAGCACGUGGAUUAAGUUUACUCCUAUUAUGAUCAUGAACACUAACAAAUACAC